GAAAUGCGAUAAGUAAUGUGAAUUGCAGAAUUCCGUGAAUCAUCGAAUCUUUGAACGCACAUUGCGCCCUCUGGCACUCCGGGGGGCAUGCCUGUCCGAGCGUCAUUACGCACCCUCAAGCCCGGCUUGUGUGAUGGGCCCUGGCGUCUCGUUCGCGAGACGGGCCCGAAAGGCAGCGGCGGCGUCGACCCGAUGAGCCCGAGCGUAUGGGGACUUUUGUCACACGUUUGCGGUGCGGACCGGCGCCUGCUUGACUUUUCUGAUUAUCCAGGUUGACCUCGGAUCAGGUAGGGAUACCCGCUGAACUUAAGC
rnacentral:misc_RNA from 1 species